UGCCCACCUUGUUCUAUUUUUCUCAACCUCCGUGCUUCCUGGUUCUUUAUUGCACAACUUGGUCUGGCCCGAGAAACUGACAUUUUUGCUGUUGACGCAACCCUUGUCACCAAAAUGAAUAUCUUGUGCCAUCGGCAUUGAUGUGACCGCCAGAGCAUAUCUGUCGAGCUGGUUUAAUAAAUACGCAGCCAGCAAACAAGCUAAGACGUAAAGCGAGUAUUUGUCAGCUCGCCGUAGUAAGUUUAUUAAUCCACUAGCCAUAAUUUUGCCAGAUGUUCAGAGCUGGUACUUCGAAGGUUUAUACUGACGGCUUGAAACUCGUCAACAAUGCAAGUCACGAGUUUUUAAAGCAUUAAUGUCAUUAUUAUGCAAGAUCUAC